rnacentral:rRNA from 1 species
UACGGAGGGUGCAAGCAUUAAUCGGAUUUAUUGGGCGUAAAGGGCGCGUAGGCGGGUUUGUAAGUCAGAUGUGAAAUCUUGGAGCUCAACUCCAGAACUGCAUUUGAAACUGCAAGUCUAGAGGGUAGGCGGAGAAAGUAGAAUUCCACAAGUAGCGGUGAAAUGCGUAGAUAUGUGGAAGAAUACCGGUGGCGAAGGCGACUUUCUAGCUUAUACCUGACGCUGAGGCGCGAAAGCAAGGGGAUCAAACAGG